rnacentral:rRNA from 1 species
AGUGAACGCUGGCGGCAGGCCUAAUACAUGCAAGUCGAACGGCAGCACGGCAGAGCUUGCUCUGUGGGUGGCGAGUGGCGGACGGGUGAGGAAUACAUGGGAAUCUGCCCAGUCGUGGGGGAUAACGUAGGGAAACUUACGCUAAUACCGCAUGCGCCCUUCGGGGGAAAGCCGGGGACCUUCGGGCCUGGCGCGAUUGGAUGAGCCCAUGUCGGAUUAGCUAGUUGGCGGGGUAAUGGCCCACCAAGGCGACGAUCCGUAGCUGGUCUGAGAGGAUGAUCAGCCACACUGGAACUGAGACACGGUCCAGACUCCUACGGGAGGCAGCAGUAGGGAAUAUUGGACAAUGGGCGCAAGCCUGAUCCAGCCAUGCCGCGUGAGUGAAGAAGGCCCUCGGGUUGUAAAGCUCUUUUGUCCGGAAGAAAAGCGCCGGGUUAAUACCCUGGUGUCCUGACGGUACCGGAAGAAUAAGCACCGGCUAACUUCGUGCCAGCAGCCG